AGUAUUGGGAUGGGCCGUGGAGGAACGGGGAGAGUAUGGGAGGGUGUGCUAUUAGAGAGAGUGGGUUUGCUUUGAGCGAGAGGGUGGAGCUCGGGGAUGUUGUAGGGGUUUGGGAGGGGAGGAGAUUGGGGAUUGCUAUAUUUGGGAGUGAUGCAGAGGAUGAAGUAUUCUACGAACUUAGAGAGGAAAAGAUACAAAAGAUAGUUAGAGAGGUUAGAGGGAAUCAAUUGCUCUGAUCCGAAAGAUCCUGUGUGUUCGCUAACAGAGCCAAUAGGAGGGUGGUGAAAUUUGGGCAGAGGUUGGUUGGUUGCUAGAUCGAGGUUCUGCUAUGACAUCCAGAUGUGUUCUGCUUAAAGACGGGACGUUGAAGGAUAUGUCAAUCGGGGAAGAAACCGCAUCGAACUAAUGAUCUGCAGAGUCGAGUGGCGCAGGAACUUCUUUAAAGUUUUUUAUAUACAUUUUUACACCGUGGUAAUUUAGAGAGGGCAUCAAGAUGAUGCCUAAUUUGUGACCGUAUUCAUAUUAAUCUGCUCUAGAUUGCAAGUCUCAAAAGUAUAUUAACCGUCCCUAUCAGGUUCACAAUGCUUGUGGGAGUUGUAUAUUGGUACAAGAUGAAAGUGAGAGCCUCUAAAUUCUUCUAAAUGGGUACUGUCUGAUUUUCCAUCUUCUAAAA